CCCGCUGAACUUAAGCAUAUCAAUAAGCGGAGGAAAAGAAACUAACAAGGAUUCCCCUAGUAACUGCGAGUGAAGCGGGAAGAGCUCAAAUUUAAAAUCUGGCGUGCCUCCGGUCGUCCGAGUUGUAGUCUAGAGAAGCGUUUUCCGUGUUGGACCGUGUAUAAGUCUCUUGGAACAGGGCGUCAUAGAGGGUGAGAAUCCCGUCUUUGACACGGACUACCAAUGCUUUGUGAUGCGCUCUCAAAGAGUCGAGUUGUUUGGGAAUGCAGCUCAAAAUGGGUGGUAAAUUCCAUCUAAAGCUAAAUAUUGGGGAGAGACCGAUAGCGAACAAGUACCGUGAGGGAAAGAUGAAAAGAACUUUGGAAAGAGAGUUAAACAGUACGUGAAAUUGCUGAAAGGGAAACGCUUGAAGUCAGUCGCGUUAGUCGGGGAUCAGCCUUCCUUUUGGUUGGUGUACUUCCUGAUUGACGGGUCAGCAUCAGUUUUGACCGGUGGAUAAGAGCUUGAGGAAUGUGGCAUCUUCGGGUGUGUUAUAGCCUCUUGUUGUAUACAUCGGUUGGGACUGAGGAACUCAACACGCCGCAAGGCCGGGUUUUUAACCACGUACGUGCUUAGGAUGCUGGCAUAAUGGCUUUAAUCGACCCGUCUUGAAACACGG
rnacentral:rRNA from 1 species